UGGAAGAUCCGCUUCUGCUUUCGGGAGCACAUCCCGUUUCCCAUAGUCCCUCCUGCGCCCCGCGCUGCGGCGGCGGGAGCCGUCGUGUCCUCAGUCCUGGGCUAUGUCGGACAGCUCAGCAGCGGCCACCGGGAGAAGUAGCUGGACUCGGCAUGAGCAGAAGACGCGAGACACAAAAGCAGGACCAGAGGGAAAGAGGCGGCCGCUCAGCCCCCGCGGGCGGCGGGGCGCCAGGUCAUCGACGCCACCCGGCCAGCAGCCACCAAACUUCUGCGAUGUCUGAUCUCCACGAGUGGCUGGGCCCGCGUGGAGUCCCUUUGCAUACUUCAGAGCCCGCUGCACCUCGCUACGGUUCCCCGCACGCUGCCGGCUCGGUUUUCCCUACUCCCCACUUUUUGGCCUCGCUGUCCCCACCGUGAGUCCCCGCCCCUCGCGCCGGCUCCUGCUGCUGGACUUUGUCACUACAACGGGUAGGGGACGCGCGCCCAACAAAGGGACCUGGCUCCCUGCGGCGUCCUCUCGCAAGGUCCCCCAGGGAUGGUGAAGAGAUGGGGAACUGGUUGGUGUGGUUGGGUUAAGGGGGGCGGUGGGCCGGUGUCACUGAUCUGGCAGCUCCAGCCGCCCGCCACCUCCCACCCAACUUACGUGUCACCCACGGCCCCGCUAUCAUGGCCAACGGGAUUCCGGGAGGAAGUCCCACUCGGGCUCCCUGCUCAUUGGGCCCGCGCAAGCCGCCGCUCCCUCCUUUCGGGGAGCUAAUGCUGGGCUCCAUUGGACGCCAGCUUUGUCUGUCCCGCCCCGGCCGCGCCUUCCCUCUCAGCUCCGGGCAGGCUCUGAGCUCCGUGGGCCGGGCAGCCGCCUGGCGCCUGGGUGCGCCCACGUGGAGCCCGGAUGGGUGCGGAGAGGCGGAGGAACCGGGUUGGGAGGGCUAGGGACUUGUCUUGGCCUGAGGCUUGGUGAUCAUGGAGCACGUGUGCGCAUGUGAGUGCAUGUAUGUCCCAGCACUUGGAAUGCACGUGGAGGGAGAGUACAGCGCUUAUGCACACCAACAACCGCAAAGCAGCCAUGAAUGCACUCUGCUUAACCCUGCUCAUUUCUUAUCCAACAUAAUGAGCUCAGGUUAAGAACAUUAUGUUCUUUGCCCAUUCUCUCAACGGCUGCCUACAGAGUUUUUUCUCAUUAGAGGCAUUAGGCUAUGUGCAAGCUUACCAAAGAUGGUAGAAAGUAAGCUGGGACCCUGAAGCUCACUUGACUGGCUACGUGGGGUGGGGAAAUCACUCUGUUGGCAGAGGGAAAGAAAUGAUCUCAUGUUUCCUCUGGCUGCAAAUGGAAUAAUUUAAAAACAAAUCUUACAGGCUGAAAUGAGUAUGUAUUCAUUUUGCUAUGUGUAUUUCUCUUAAUGGUGGCAGAAAAACAUCAGUUACAUUUUUACAUUUUCAAGGCCAACAAAACCCACUAGGCUUAACAAAAAGUUAGAAAAGCGUAAUAACGCCAAACCACUUCAAAGAAAUUCACAGUGCAUUUGUUUCUUCAAUGUAAUAAGAGUGAGUGUGGAAUUGAGGUUAUACAUAAAUUAUAAUUUUGUUUCUCCUCUUGACCUAAAUUCUAAGGGAAAUAAAUUA